rnacentral:SRP_RNA from 1 species
ACCGGGGACCUCUAGGAACAAGACAGUUCGAACCAGGUCAGGAUCGGAAGGUAGCAGCCUUAAGGAUUAGGAUUGUGCUUUGAGCCAUCUCCGGUGUU